CCCUUAGAUGUUCUGGGCCGCACACGCGCUACACUGAAGGAGGCAGCGUGUACUCCUGGAUCGAAAGAUUUGGGUAACCCGCGAAUCUCCUUCGUGCUAGGGAUUGAGGUUUGCAAUUAUCCUUCAUGAACGAGGAAUUCCCAGUAAGUGCAAGUCAUAAGCUUGCGCUGACUACGUCCCUGCCCUUUGUACACACCGCCCGUAGCUACUACCGAUUGAAUGAUUUAGUGAGGACUUCGGACUGGGACCGAUGCGGCUUUCGGGCUGCGUCGGUAUUCUGGAAAGAUGUCCAAACUGUAUCAUUUAGAGGAAGUAAAAGUCGUAACA
rnacentral:rRNA from 1 species